CAGUCGCCACGGGAAUACGAAGGGGGCUAGCGUUGUUCGGAUUUACUGGGCGUAAAGCGCACGUAGGCGGAUUGGUAAGUUAGGGGUGAAAUCCUGGAGCUCAACUCCAGAACUGCCUUUAAUACUGCCAAUCUCGAGUCCGGAAGAGGUAAGUGGAACUCCUAGUGUAGAGGUGGAAUUCGUAGAUAUUAGGAAGAACACCAGUGGCGAAGGCGGCUUACUGGUCCGGUACUGACGCUGAGGUGCGAAAGCGUGGGGAGCAAACAGGAUUAGAUACCCCAGUAGUCCCUGUCUCUUAUAC
rnacentral:rRNA from 1 species